CUCGGAGGGAUUACCUGACCUGCCAAAGAUCUUAACAGCCCACAGAGACUCUCAGCAGAACUGGACAUGCAGAGAUCCAAGCAUGGGAGAAGUAGAGGGUCUGCUGCUGGGAAGUGAACAGCAGGGACGGAUGAGUCUCUAAACAGAAGAAAUCUGAUUUUCCUGCAACAUCCCUGCGAAAUCAAAGCAUGUAAGAAUCGUUAAGACAGGAAAAUCCUGCUUCUGUCUUCAUCAGUCCAUUUUGGAAAAAUGACUUAAAUCUUGGCAACUAUAGAUAACUUUGUAUAUCCUAUGUGGAUUGCUUUAGAGGUCAAACAUACAGAAGGCAGCAUUUAA